UACGAAGGGGGCUAGCGUUGCUCGGAAUCACUGGGCGUAAAGGGCGCGUAGGCGGCCAUUCAAGUCAGAGGUGAAAGCCCAAGGCUCAACCUUGGAACUGCCUUUGAUACUGUUUGGCUUGAGACCGGUAGAGGUAAGUGGAACUGCGAGUGUAGAGGUGAAAUUCGUAGAUAUUCGCAAGAACACCAGUGGCGAAGGCGCUUACUGGACCGGUUCUGACGCUGAGGCGCGAAAGCGUGGGGAGCAAACAGG
rnacentral:rRNA from 1 species